CACUGACACACCACACGGGAUGAAGGCACGUUUUUCUCCACGGCGCAGCCAGGGCCCAUCCACAGAGCCCCCGCAUUGGGAGGAUUCGUUUGUCGUCACUGGGGGAGUUAACCGGAGGGGCGGGGUUACAGAGAGAGCAGAAAAUGCCUGCCCCCCCUGCUAGAGCUGGACCAGCACUGGACUGCUAAGGUCCUGGACCAUGCGAAGGUGGACAGAAUGUGGUGAUAUCCACCUCAGCCAUCACUCACCUCUUGUGGCAUGCCAGCGUUGGAGCAGUUCUGUGGGCACCCCCUGUUCCUGUGGAUGCCAAGGAAGCUUUCGCGUGUCCAGCUACAUCAUCACUACAUCACAGGGUCAGACAGGGGAUAUUUUGCAGGGAGGAGAGGCCCGGCACAGUGGACCCAGGCCCUUUAAUUGAGUCAGGCACAAGCAUUGGAGCCUUAUCAGCAGAACCUCCUCCAGAUCUGGCAAGCACGCACGCUGAAGCUCAUUGUCAUGCCAAUCAUCUGUCGUCAUCGCCUCAUGUUGCGGCAUGAUGUGCAUUAUCCCUGGAAGCUCAAAACAUCACAGUUCUUGCAUGGCCUCCAUAGUCACUACACAUGUCAUCCAGUGAGCGUGUUUGGGAUGCUCUGGAUCUGCGUGUUCCACUUCCUGCCAAUAUCCAGCAACGUCACGGAGUCAAUGAAGAGGAGCGGCCCAAAAUUCCACGGGCCACAAUCAACAUCCUGAUCAACUCUGUACAAACGAGAUGUGUCACACUGGAUGAGGCAGAUGGUGGUCACACCUGUGCAAUAAUCAUACUGUGUAAUCAGCAUCUUGAUAUGCCACAUCUGUCAGGUGGAUGGAUUAUUUUGGCAAAGGAAAAGUGCUAACUAUCACAGAUUUAAACACAUUUGUGAACAAAAUCAUUUGUGUGGUUAGAGAACACAUUGAACUCAUGGAAAAUGGGAGUAAAAACAAAAGGUGUUGGGGUUUUUUUUUCCAUUUUUGUUCACUGUAUAUUGUGCUCUUAAUACUACAUACUACCACACUACAUAACACCUGGAAUAUUUUCCGAUACUGCAAACAUGAAAGAAAACAGAAUAAUUGUGUAGGCCACAUAUGGAAUCCCCUCAAAACAUUUCUUUAAAUAUCUUCAACUGAGAAGUUUCAUACUGGCCAGGCAGUAUUAACAAUUAAAUGUAAGCAGCAGAAAGGAUCUUUAUUUCAUUGUAUGUGGGAAUGCCCACUGACACACUCUUUUUGGAAGAAAGUGUUGACUCUGGCCAGUCAAAGCAUUGAUAAAGAAGUGCCUCUCAAUCCAAAACUAUGUUUAUUGAAUAUCUACCUGGAUGACUUUGUGACCUCUAAAAAUGAAACAUCCUUACUCAAUAUUUGUUUUCUAGAAGCUAAAAGAUGUACAGCCUGUUCAUGGAAAAAAUAAAAAUCUUGUGCUACCUCACAAUGGCUGACAGGAAUGACUUUUUUACUUUGCUUUAGAAAAGAUAAGCUUCACCACAAAGAACAAGUUAGACAAGUUUUGGAAAAUCUGGAAAGUUUUUUAUGAUAUUGAAGUAGAUGACUUUUUUUUUUUUUGUCUUGCUUUUUGUUUCUUUUGCCCCCCCUUUUCUUUUAAUCGCUAUGAUUGUUGUAGUACAUACACAAUGUUAAAUGUAAAAUAUUCUGUUACUAUGUGGAUAUUAUGUAAGCGAUAAGUGUGUGUAUAUGCAGAGAAUAUAUAAUUUCCUACUAUUAGAACGCCGACUCUAUGUUUGGGUGUAUGUAUGUACAUAUAUGUGUAUGUUGAUAUAUACCCACUUAUUUAUCUUAUUUAUCAUUAUUAUUAUUAUUAUUAUUAGUACUUUUGUUAUUAUUAUCAAUUACCUACAUGUGUCUUCUUGUUCUGUUGUUCCUUGAUUGUAAAAUUAACAAAAUGUGCCAUAAAUAAAUGUUUAAAAAAAGAAUUGUGUGCUGGAGAAAGACCACCAUCAUGAGCCCAGAGAGCCUGUCUCCUGCGGUUGAGGAAAGGCAGUGGCUCCAUCUGCUGGUAACUCUCAGGCCACCU